AGAAUCUGUUGGUGACAUAUAUAGGCAUGUUCCUCGGAGGGGACUACAUAUUCAGUACCAUCAAUUUUAUAGGAUUGAAUAUAAGUGUCUCUGGGAGUUUAGUGUACAGUUAUGUAACUUUCAAGAAACCACAGGAAAAAAGUGUUCAACCAACGGAAGCUACGCAGAAGUCUGAGGCAACUAUGACCGAGAUCAAAACUACAGGUAAGUAGUAAGUUACGUACGUUAAACAUAUUGUUUUGUCCACAGCUUUUUAAGUUCAGUUCAAUUUCCUGCCAAACAUACUCUCCCUCUACUGCAUGUAUGUGUUUCAGUUUAUCCUGUUCCAGACCGUGUCUCACUUUUGUAGCUCGUUUUGUAACAUGGACUUGGGUUUCCCACCGAAUAUCAUUCAUUUCACAAGUAUGACAUAAUAUUCAGAUUUUUGAAGAGUG